rnacentral:rRNA from 1 species
UGCCAGCAGCCGCGGUAAUACAGAGGAUGCAAGCGUUAUCCGGAAUCACUGGGCGUAAAGCGUAUGUAGGCGGAUCAAAAAGUUAGAUGUGAAAUCCCUGGGCUCAACCCAGGAACUGCAUUUAAAACUAGUGAUCUAGAAUUUGGUAGGGGUUAGUAGAAUUUCCAGUGUAGAGGUGAAAUUCGUAGAUAUUGGAAAGAAUACCAGUGGCGAAGGCGACUAACUGGGCCAUUUUUGACGCUGAGAUACGAAAGCGUGGGUAGCAAACAGGAUUAGAUA